AAGUCGUAACAAGGUUUCCGUAGGUGAACCUGCGGAAGGAUCAUUACCGAGUUCUCGGGCUUCGGCUCGAAUCUCCCACCCUUUGUGAACAUACCUCUGUUGCUUUGGCGGCUCUUUGCCGCGAGGAGGCCCUCGCGGGCCCCCCACGCGCGCUUUCCGCCAGAGGACCUUCAAACUCCAGUCAGUAAACGUCGACGUCUGAUAAACUAAGUUAAUAAACUAAAACUUUCAACAACGGAUCUCUUGGUUCUG
rnacentral:misc_RNA from 1 species